CGAGUUGUAAUUUGUAGAGGAAGCUUCUGGCGAGGUACCUGCUGAGUCCCCUGGAACGGGGCGCCAUAGAGGGUGAGAGCCCCGUAUAGCAGAGUGCCGACCCUGUGUGAAGCUCCUUCGACGAGUCGAGUAGUUUGGGAAUGCUGCUCUAAAUGGGAGGUAAAUUUCUUCUAAAGCUAAAUAUUGGCCAGAGACCGAUAGCGCACAAGUAGAGUGAUCGAAAGAUGAAAAGCACUUUGAAAAGAGGGUUAAAUAGCACGUGAAAUUGUUGAAAGGGAAGCGCUUGUGAUCAGACUUGCGCCCGGCGGAUCAUCCGGCGUUCUCGCCGGUGCACUCCGCCGGGCUCAGGCCAGCAUCGGUUCUCGCGGGGGGAUAAAGGCUCGGGGAACGUGGCUCCUCCGGGAGUGUUAUAGCCCCUUGUGUAAUGCCCUCGCGGGGACCGAGGUUCGCGCAUCUGCAAGGAUGCUGGCGUAAUGGUCAUCAGCGACCCGUCUUGAAACACGGACCAAGGAGUCAAGGUUUUGCGCGAGUGUUUGGGUGUAAAACCCGCACGCGUAAUGAAAGUGAACGUAGGUGAGAGCUUCGGCGCAUCAUCGACCGAUCCUGAUGUAUUCGGAUGGAUUUGAGUAAGAGCGUUAAGCCUUGGACCCGAAAGAUGGUGAACUAUGCUUGGAUAGGGUGAAGCCAGAGGAAACUCUGGUGGAGGCUCGCAGCGGUUCUGACGUGCAAAUCGAUCGUCAAAUCUGAGCAUGGGGGCGAAAGACUAAUCGA
rnacentral:rRNA from 1 species